AGAGAAGGCUGCAGAGUGGAAAGGUGAUGUGCCACCAGCUCCCGGCAGUGGAUCAGCUGCGAGCUGUCCAUCUGGAGUGGGAAGACAAGCAAAGCUGGAGUGUGCUCCCAGAGUACCUGCAAGGUUGCCUGUAUGCUGUGAAUGAAUGGAGGGGAGCCACUAACAAGUGGAGUUUUUCCCUGGUGUGUUUUCUCCCUGGUGCAGCACAGGCCUGUGUCCAUCAGGGCACACGGCUCCUCCCAUCACGCAGUGGAGGUGGUCAGGACUGAGACCUGGCGGCACUGUCCCUGCAGCUGUCACUCCAGGCUGAGGCCCAGCUAUCCCCACACGAGCAGAACGGCAGGCAGCAAGGAACAGCAAAGCCCUGGCGGCCUGGAGCGCUGAGCAGCAUCUGGCCCCGGUCCCUCCCCACUCCGUGUGCACUGCCCUCCUCACCUGUGCCUUCUGGAGCAGCUCGAUGAUGAGAGCCAGCCAGUCGGGGAGCAGCUUCUCCAGCUCCAGGCUGACGAUGGCCAGCGCCAGCAUGGAGCCCUUGAACUGCAGCAGCUGGAAACAGGCCAUGCAGUGCAGCAGCUGCUUGGUGAGCGCCGCCACGUGCUGCGAGGGGCUCGGCGUGGGCAGCAGGGCCAGGAGCUGCGGCCUGCUGGACACCGCCACGGCGUGGAACUGCGGGACACAAGCACAGGGGGCAGCUGGCAGCGCUGGCCAGGCCGUGGCACGCCUGGGGAACAGCUUACACACGCAAGGGUUCUCCAGCCUAACCCUGGAGGCAACUUCUGCCCCGUGGGGAAAAACCCGAUGUGCCGAACCCACCAAAGCUUGGUGCAGCCCUUCUGGUGGGACCUCCUUAGGCACGAGGCUCUAGGGCUCUGUAAAAGGUGUUCCCAUCUACCCUUCUCUCUCCAGUGCACAUGUAGCAGUCAGGGGUCCUAGACAAACUUCUCAGGGAAGGAGUGAGGAAAAAUUCCACAGAGAACUUCAGGACAUCUCCCUUGACCUCUCGUGCAUGCAUCCUGGCUCUUGGCCAUGCAGGUGUGCAGCAGGCAUGGAUCCACACGUACAGCCCACCCGUGGGGCUUUCUCUGUGCCUGCACUCCUUCUUUCCCUGCUGUCUGGUGUUUAGCUUUGAGGAAAACCAUUGGCAGUAAAGAGUUACGAGCACAA